rnacentral:rRNA from 1 species
CGGGACGGGUGAGUAAUGUCUGGGAAACUGCCUGAUGGAGGGGGAUAACUACUGGAAACGGUAGCUAAUACCGCAUAACGUCGCAAGACCAAAGAGGGGGACCUUCGGGCCUCUUGCCAUCGGAUGUGCCCAGAUGGGAUUAGCUAGUAGGUGGGGUAACGGCUCACCUAGGCGACGAUCCCUAGCUGGUCUGAGAGGAUGACCAGCCAUACUGGAACUGAGACACGGUCCAG